AUCAGGCUGUUUGGUCUCAGAGGAAGGCUGUGCUUCUCUGGCCUCAGCUCUGACCUCCAACCCCUCCCAUCUGAAAGAGUUGGACCUGAGCUACAAUCAUCCAGGAGACUCAGAAGUGAAGCUGCUGUCGACUGGACUGAAGGAUCCACACUGGAGACUGGAAGCUCUCAGGGUGGAGCCUGCUGGAGGCCGAUUCUUGACUCCAGGUCUGAGGAAAUAUUCCUGUCAACUCACCAUCGACACAACCACAGUGAACAGAAAACUCAAACUGUCUGAAGAUAACAAGAAGGUGACAUAUGAGGAGGAGUUUCAGUCAUAUCCUGAUC